AGUGAACGCUGGCGGUAGGCCUAACACAUGCAAGUCGAACGGCAGCACAGUAAGAGCUUGCUCUUACGGGAGGCGAGUGGCGGACGGGUGAGGUAUACAUCGGACUUUACUUUUUCGUGGGGGAUCACGUAGGGAAACUUACGCUAAUACCGCAUACGACCUACGGGUGAAAGCAGGGGAUCUUCGGACCUUGCGCGAUUGAAUGAGCCGAUGUCGGAUUAGCUAGUUGGCGGGGUAAAGGCCCACCAAGGCGACGAUCCGUAGCUGGUCUGAGAGGAUGAUCAGCCACACUGGAACUGAGACACGGUCCAGACUCCUACGGGAGGCAGCAGUGGGGAAUAUUGGACAAUGGGCGCAAGCCUGAUCCAGCCAUACCGCGUGGGUGAAGAAGGCCUUCGGGUUGUAAAGCCCUUUUGUUGGGAAAGAAAAGCAGCAGGUUAAUACCCCGCUGUUCUGACGGUACCCAAAGAAUAAGCACCGGCUAACUUCGUG
rnacentral:rRNA from 1 species